UCCCUGGUAGUCCAGUGUCUAGGACUCUACGCUCCCAAUGCAGGGGGCCUGGGUUCAAUCUCUGGUCAGAGAA
rnacentral:tRNA from 1 species